UACGUAGGGUGCGAGCGUUAAUCGGAAUUACUGGGCGUAAAGCGUGCGCAGGCGGUUUUGCAAGCCGGAUGUGAAAUCCCCGGGCUCAACCUGGGAAUGGCAUUCGGGACUGCAAGGCUGGAGUGCGGCAGAGGAGACUGGAAUUCCUGGUGUAGCAGUGAAAUGCGUAGAUAUCAGGAGGAAUACCGAUGGCGAAGGCAGGUCUCUGGGCUGACACUGACGCUCAUGCACGAAAGCGCGGGGAGCAAACAGG
rnacentral:rRNA from 1 species